rnacentral:lncRNA from 1 species
CUUCUCUUAAUAUAAAAGUGGGAGAACAUGAUGAGUGAGUCACAUUUUAUAUCUUUCCACAUUCUUUUAUUUAUAUUUAGAUUGAAGUUGGGAAAAGCAAUCACUGUCAGAAAGCAAACCCUCUUGUGCCUGGUGCUCAGCUGGAAGAUUGUUCUGGACUCUGGGUUUAGUGAAUAAUAAACUUUCAAAUUUCCUUCCUUCACAACAACUGACCAUGACUAACUCUUUGUGAAAGAACUCUGAACACUAUAAGGUACUGUAGUAAUGUUAAGUAAACUUUGCCAUAGGAAGAAAAAGGAAAAGUAACAGAAAUAAAAUGACAGAAAUAAAAAAGAGAAAAAAGGCAUAAAUAGAGAAAAGUUUAAUUAUGUAGUGAUAAUUAUGGGAGAGACAAAAUAUAAGGUAAGUUUUGUUCAGAGAUAAGAAAAUUAUGGUUCCAGUGAUCCCUGAUUCAAAUAUUAACAUAAUUUUGAUGAGUGGGCAAAAAUAUGAGAUGACUAGAAAAUGGAAGAGAUACCUGGUCCUUUUAAUUAUCAUUUUCUUUAUAUGACUUGGGAAACCAAUAAUUUGGGUAACUUAACCCAGUAGUUCUCAACUGAGUUGUUUUACCUUCCCCAGGGGGGAUAUUUGUCAAUGUCUGGAGACAUUUCUUGUUGUCACAAAUAGGAGGAGGUGUGUUACUUGUGUCUAAUGAGUAAAGGCCAGGGAUGUUGAGGAAUAUCCUCUAGCACACAGGACAGCCCCAUGUCCUCACAAGAAGAAUUAUUUGGCCCCAAAGGUAAAAAAUGCUGAUGUUGAGAAAUCUUCGCUUAAUCCAAUUCAUUUUUAAAACCAAAAUGAUGGGUUUUAAAACCCCAAAUAAGCAAACACACGUAAAAACUGAGCUUCAUAUAAUCUUCAGUCAUUCCUUCUUUUUGGUCUGUUCUGUGAUCUAGUACUAUUGAACUAUCCAGAGCCCCACUACAUGGAACUUUAUGAUCCUGUACUUUAGUACUUUUUUCCUUUUUCCUUUCCACAUUUAAGGAUCUUCAAGACUUUUCUU